CCACCUGAAAGGUUGUCUCAACCUUGAGAAAGAAAUAGGUGAGCAAAGUUUCAGGUGUGU
rnacentral:pre_miRNA from 1 species